AUUGAACGCUGGCGGCAGGCCUAACACAUGCAAGUCGAGCGGAUGAAGGGAGCUUGCUCCUGGAUUCAGCGGCGGACGGGUGAGUAAUGCCUAGGAAUCUGCCUGGUCGUGGGGGAUAACGUCCGGAAACGGGCGCUAAUACCGCAUACGUCCUGAGGGAGAAAGUGGGGGAUCUUCGGACCUCACGCUCUCAGAUGAGCCUAGGUCGGAUUAGCUAGUUGGUGGGGUAAAGGCCUACCAAGGCGACGAUCCGUAACUGGUCUGAGAGGAUGAUCAGUCACACUGGAACUGAGACACGGUCCAGACUCCUACGGGAGGCAGCAGUGGGGAAUAUUGGACAAUGGGCGAAAGCCUGAUCCAGCCAUGCCGCGUGUGUGAAGAAGGUCUUCGGAUUGUAAAGCACUUUAAGUUGGGAGGAAGGGCAGUAAGUUAAUACCUUGCUGUUUUGACGUUACCAACAGAAUAAGCACCGGCUAACUUCGUG
rnacentral:rRNA from 1 species